rnacentral:lncRNA from 1 species
UAAAAUUCAAAUCUCAAAAUCAAUAGGAAUUGGAAAUCCUCUUUUAGAUCUUAUUAUUUUCAAAAAAAACCAAAAACAACAAAAAUCUUCAAAAAAAUAAAAUAAAAAAUAGGCACUAUUACAUUGAUUUUUGGGCUAAAUUUGAUCAUUUCUCUUCUCUUCUAUUUGCUGAGGUUCCUCUGAAGUUUACUGAUGGUUUUUCGAGUGGUUUUAGUUCAUUCAAAUUGGUUUUUAGUCGAUUUAGUAGAUCUGUCUGGGUUUGAGCAUUUCUGGAUCAUCUAAGUUUGGGUUCGAGUCUGUUUGGCUGUGUUCGAGUGGUUUACUGUCCAAACACCUAUUUCUAGAUUGAGAACUGAGUUGAAUAUGGGCUGUUGUUGAUUUCUGC